AUUGAACGCUGGCGGCAUGCUUUACACAUGCAAGUCGAACGGUAACAGGCCUUCGGGUGCUGACGAGUGGCGAACGGGUGAGUAAUGUAUCGGAACGUACCCAGAGGUGGGGGAUAACGCAGCGAAAGCUGUGCUAAUACCGCAUGUGAUCUGAGGAUGAAAGCGGGGGACCGAGCAGCAAUGUUUGGCCUCGCGCCUUUGGAGCGGCCGAUGUCGGAUUAGCUAGUUGGUGGGGUAAAGGCCUACCAAGGCGACGAUCCGUAGCUGGUCUGAGAGGACGACCAGCCACACUGGAACUGAGACACGGCCCAGACUCCUACGGGAGGCAGCAGUGGGGAAUAUUGGACAAUGGGCGCAAGCCUGAUCCAGCAAUGCCGCGUGCGGGAAGAAGGCCUUCGGGUUGUAAAGCGCUUUUAGCAGGAAAGAAACGGUGUCAGCUAAUACCGGGCGGUAAUGACGGUACCUGCAGAAUAAGCACCGGCUAACUACGUG
rnacentral:rRNA from 1 species